GAUGAGUUCUCCCUGAGACUUUAGGUCUCCUGAAGGAACGUUGAAGACGACGACGUUGAUAGGCCGGGUGUGUAAGCGCAGCGAUGCGUUGAGCUAACCGGUACUAAUGAACCGUGAGGCUUAACCUUACAACGCCGAAG
rnacentral:rRNA from 10 species